rnacentral:misc_RNA from 1 species
AGCAGCCGCGGUAAUUCCAGCUCCAAUAGCGUAUAUUAAAGUUGCUGCAGUUAAAAAGCUCGUAGUUGAAUUUCGGGAUCAAUAUGUUGGUCGUGCCUUGGUACGUACUAGCUCAUUGGCUUCUCCCUUCUGACGAACCAUGAUGUCAUUAAUUUGAUGUCAUGGGGAAUCAGGACUGUUACUUUGAAAAAUUAGAGUGUUUAAAGCAGGCUCGCGCUUGAAUACAUUAGCAUGGAAUAAUGAAAUAGGACAUUUGAUUCUAUUUUGUUGGUUUCUAGGAUCGAUGUAAUGAUUAAUAGGGAUAGUUGGGGGCAUUAGUAUUCAAUUGUCAGAGGUGAAAUUCUUGGAUUUAUUGAAGACUAACUACUGCGAAAGCAUUUGCCAAGGAUGUUUUCAUUAAUCAAGAACGAAAGUUAGGGGAUCGAAGACGAUCAGAUACUGUCGUAGUCUUAACCAUAAACUAUGCCGACUAGGGAUCGGAUGAUGUUAAAUUUUUAA